GCGCUGAUUGAGCGGCCGAUAUCAGAUUAGCUAGUUGGUGAGGUAAAGGCUCACCAAGGCGACGAUCUGUAGCGGGUCUGAGAGGGUGAUCCGCCACACUGGAACUGAGACACGGUCCAGACUCCUACGGGAGGCAGCAGUGGGGAAUUUUGGACAAUGGGCGCAAGCCUGAUCCAGCCAUGCCGCGUGAGUGAAGAAGGCCUUCGGGUUGUAAAGCUCUUUCGGCCGGGAAGAAAUCGCACAGGUUAAUACCCUGUGUGGAUGACGGUACCGGAAUAAGAAGCACCGGCUAACUACGUG
rnacentral:rRNA from 1 species